rnacentral:tRNA from 1 species
GCCCCUGUAGCUCAAUGGAUAGAGUGUAGGUUUGCGGAACCUGAGAUCCAGGUUCAAUUCCUGGCAGGGGCA